UGGGGAAUCUUGGACAAUGGGCGAAAGCCUGAUCCAGCCAUGCCGCGUGAGUGAAGAAGGCCUUAGGGUUGUAAUGCUCUUUUGCCCGGGAAGAUAAUGACGGUACCGGGAGAAUAAGCCCCGGCAAACUUCGUGCCAGCAGCCGCGGUAAUACGAAGGGGGCUAGCGUUGUUCGGAUUUACUGGGCGUAAAGCGCACGUAGGCGGAUUGUUAAGUCGGGGGUGAAAUCCUGGAGCUCAACUCCAGAAUUGCCUUCGAUACUGGCUUUCUAGAGGCUGGAAGAGGUUAGUGGAAUUCCCAGUGUAGAGGUGAAAUUCGUAGAUAUUGGGAAGAACACCAGUGGCGAAGGCGGCUAACUGGUCCAGAUCUGACGCUGAGGUGCGAAAGCGUGGGGAGCGAAACAGGAUUAGAUACCCUGGUAGUCCACGCCGUAAACUAUGGGUGCUAGCCGUCGGUGAGCUUGCUCAUCGGUGGCGCAGCUAACGCUUUAAGCACCCGCCU
rnacentral:rRNA from 1 species